UUGGAACUUGCUGAGGUCUGAAGCAAUUCAUCCAUGUCAGUGCUCAUUUUUAUCCCCUGUUCUGUCUCUGCCUUUGGGUUCUGCGAGUUGUCGGAGCCCUCCGUCACUGGGAACCAACAUUCGAGCUGCCCAGGAAACCACCAUUAGAACCACUACUAUUUUGCUGCCACCGAGGUCGUUGGUGCUUGUCAAGAGUGCUAUUCUGGUUCUGAAUUGAUUAGUUCAUGCCACUACUGCUGCUGAGAAGUGAUCAGAAAUGCCACUGCUGUUAGUUCGGUUCAAGGAGGUUGUUGCCACUACGAAUUAAAAAUAAAAGAAGGCUGUGUUGUGUUUGAUUAUCGAAUUUCGGCUAAUCGAGUGACACAGGUACGAAGAUUCAGUUUGAAGCUGCGGGCGAUUCUAGAAUUUAUUUACGAGUUAAGUUCAUGACUUGAGAAUCUUUCAUAGAAUUCCCUUGCCCUUACUGCUUAAGGUUUUUAUUUUAUGCAGAGGGAUAGG